ensembl:lncRNA
AGCCAGACGUACCACGCCAGGAGCUGCAAAGUGAUGUAAUGUUUUCAUCUCUGAAAACCUGGUUUCGAGAAAAGAUUUGUCUCCAAAAUGGAAAUCUGCUUUUGAUUCAACAUUAGGUACCAGCAGACAGCACUUUGCAGUCCUACUUCUUUGAUUACUGCAGCCUUUCCUCAAGCAAAGUCCCAGUGCACAUUGCCCAGUGCAUGUGCAGUCUGUGUUAAAGGUUACCCAGGUCCCAGCAUUCAUUUGCCACCAACAGAAAAGAACAGAAUAAAUUCAAUCAAAAUUUGUAAAUAAAAAUGAAUAGCUGUGCCAUCUGGUGCUACUGAAGCAAAACAUACAACAGUAUGCACAGGUACAAUAAUUGAGAAUUUAAUUUGGGUAAUUAAGUUUAAUACAUAAUAAAAUUUUAUAGUAAACAUUUAAAAUGCUCCUAAAAAUGUAAGUGCUUAUUUUCUCAACAUUUUAUAGAAAGGUACUCAUUACAAACACAUCUAUUGGGUAAUUUUGCACUGUGAGUUUUUAGGUAAAGCAUUGACUUACAUCAAAGCCUGAGCACACCGUUGGCAAGUGACUUCAGCUGGUGUUGGAUUAGGGCCAGGAGGCCAAAGGGUGAGCCUUAAAAAUGUAAUUAUGCUUCUGAAAAACUCAAAUCAGGUACUUUUUCUUGCCAACAUUCGUGAUUUUUUUUUAAUGUUCCAAAAAAAAAAAAAAAAAAAAAAGAUGAUAUUUCCCCUCCCCUCUCUCUACUUCCCACCCUUACCUUGUUUGGUGCAGUGUUCUCAACAGCCAAAGGCAAACUGGCCCCAAGCUGGAUCCCUUGGCAGGUUGGGUGCUGUCAGUGCCAGAGAGGAGAUGCAGGAUGGAGUGGAGGGACUGCGUUAAAGGCUCAAUGCAGUUCAACAUCUCUGCUUUCCCCAACUCCUUCAGAUGGGCUGGUGGCAGUGCCAGUAUCAAAGGACGUUUGCUGAAAAGGUCAAGAGAAAGGCUACAGUAAAUCAGUCCCACCUAUGACUUGUAGCAUUGGGGGGGAGGGAGGGGGUUGAAUGCCCAUGGGAGCCCACUGAGGGCAUGUGAGUAGAUGGGCUUGACAGUACUGAAAUGUGGGUGUUGUUACAAGAUUAUUAAAAGAUAACAU